rnacentral:tRNA from 1 species
GGUCCCGUAGCUCAGUCUGGUUAGAGCGCUAGCCUUUUAAGCUAGAUGUCGCGGGUUCAAAUCCCGUCGGGGCCA